rnacentral:rRNA from 1 species
UUCUUCUUGGUUCAAUUUAGAGGAAGUAAAAGUCGUAACAAGGUUUCCGUAGGUGAACCUGCGGAAGGAUCAUUAUUGAAUAAACUUGGUUGGGUUGUGCUGGCUUUUUGGAGCAUGUGCACGCCUAGCGCCAUUUUUACCACCUGUGCACCUUUUGUAGAUUUGAAACAACUCUCGAGGAAACUCGGUUUGAGGAAUGCUGUGUGCAAACAUGGCUUUCCUUGUGUUUCAAGUCUAUGUUUUUAUUAUACCCCAUAAGAAUGUAAUAGAAUGUUAUUAAUGGGCUUUAUGCCUUUAAAUUAAUACAACUUUCAACAACGGAUCUCUUGGCUCUCGCAUCGAUGAAGAACGCAGCGAAAUGCGAUAAGUAAUGUGAAUUGCAGAAUUCAGUGAAUCAUCGAAUCUUUGAACGCACCUUGCGCUCCUUGGUAUUCCGAGGAGCAUGCCUGUUUGAGUGUCAUUAAAUUCUCAACCUUUUCAGCUUUUGCAAGUUGGAUUGGCUUGGAUGUGGAGGUUAUUGCGGGCUUCUCUAGAAGUCGGCUCCUCUUAAAUGCAUUAGCGGAACCUUUGUGGACCAGCUUUUGGUGUGAUAAUUAUCUACGCCAUGGUUGUGAAGCAGCUUUAACAUGGGGUUCAGCUUCUAACAGUCCAUUGACUUGGACAAAUUUAUGACAUUUUUGACCUCAAAUCAGGUAGGACUACCCGCUGAACUUAAGCAUACAAACGGAGGGGGGGGAGAAAAA